rnacentral:rRNA from 1 species
AGAUCGCAUAGCCUUGAGCUGGCGACGGUUCAUUCAAAUUUCUGCCCUAUCAACUUUCGAUGGUAAGGUAGUGGCUUACCAUGGUUUCAACGGGUAACGGGGAAUUAGGGUUCGAUUCCGGAGAGGGAGCCUGAGAAACGGCUACCACAUCCAAGGAAGGCAGCAGGCGCGCAAAUUACACAAUUCCGAUACGGAGAUGUAGUGACAAUAAAUACUGAUACAGGGCUCUUUUGGGUCUUGUAAUUGGAAUGAGUACAAUUUAAACCUCUUAACGAGGAACAAUUGGAGGGCAAGUCUGGUGCCAGCAGCCGCGGUAAUUCCAGCUCCAAUAGCGUAUAUUAAAGUUGUUGCAGUUAAAAAGCUCGUAGUUGAACCUUUGGCCUGGCUGGCAGGUCCGCCUCACCGCGUGCACUUGUCCGGCCGGGCCUUUUCUUCUGGAGAACCGCAUGCCCUUCACUGGGUGUGUUGGGGACCAGGACUUUUACUUUGAAAAAAUUAGAGUGUUCAAAGCAGGCCUUUGCUCGAAUACGUUAGCAUGGAAUAAUAGAAUAGGACGUCGCGGUCCUAUUUUGUUGGUUUCUAGGACCGCCGUAAUGAUUAAUAGGGACAGUCGGGGGCAUCAGUAUUCAAUUGUCAGAGGUGAAAUUCUUGGAUUUAUUGAAGACUAACUACUGCGAAAGCAUUUGCCAAGGAUGUUUUCAUUAAUCAGUGAACGAAAGUUAGGGGAUCGAAGACGAUCAGAUACCGUCGUAGUCUUAACCAUAAACUAUGCCGACUAGGGAUCGGGCGGUGUUUCUAAUGUGACCCGCUCGGCACCUUACGAGAAAUCAAAGUGUUUGGGUCUGGGGAGUAG